CUCCCAGAGCUGUUCCCCCUCCACCUUGCUGGGCCUCUAACUAGACCUAUAAAUGUUCCAGGGGCCUGCUCCUCGGGGGUGAGGGGGACCACUGUCCUGGCCCCUCCAUGCCCACCGCUACUCCACUCCAGCCUCAUCCCUUGCUCAGGGACCAGUGUGAUGCCCAGCGCGUUUCUUGCCAGGCUUUGUGCUGCAGCCUCUUCCUCUGCUUUGCACAAGGCCUGCAGAGCAGCCUACCAGCUCCCAGGCCUGCUGCCUUUUAACUCUGGCCUUGGGUUCUGUUUAGUCUUCUCCCCACAACCCUUCACAAACUUGCCAGAGUGACCUGGACGGAGCCCUUCCCUCCUCCACACCCUUGUCCUCAGUAGCCCCUGCCCAGAAUACUGUCUUCUGCCUGCCUGUACCACCCGCACCAGUCUUGCCCAUUAAAGCCCCAGCUCAGAAAACUUUCCCAGGAAGACUACUCAGAUUUGCCGCCAAGUGAAAACAUACCCUUUUCCUCUGAUUCGCACGGCACUUUAUAUCUCUGCUUGACAAGUUAUUUUUUAUUCUUAAGUAUGAGCCUACCCCCCUAAAGAACUUUAAAAACAAGGCCUUUGCAUUCAGAGCUGAGACAGGAAUCCCAACUUUGUGACUUACCAACUAAUGGGGGCGAUGGAGUCGGCCUCAAAUCCUCGGAGAAGGUCCUCAGGUUAGCUGUGUAAGUCACCUGGCCAGCCGUGGGACACUCAGGAGGCAGAUAGUGCCUGCUCUGCUCCAGACCUCCUCUUCCUGGUUUCAGCAAAGCUACCCACCUCCACUCCUCUGAGCCUGCCUGGCUUCAGCAGCAAUCAGGCUAAGCAGGCACUCCUGUGGUGGGCGGGGCUCUCCCCGUGGUGGGCGGGGCUCUCUCCUUGGAGGCAGACAUCCCAGGGGGCCCAUCAACCAGGAAAGGGUGCCUCAGAUGGGCAGACCUCAUGCUGCCACUCUGUCCUCACUCGGGAGUCCAGACCUACUCAAAGGUCCUUCCAAGGGGCAGGAGCUGCUGGCCUCCGGUGGGGUUAGGCAAGGAGACUCCCAUCUGCCCCCACAAGUUGAAGAUGAGGAAGCUUGUUUAUGAUUCCCUGGCUUGUUUCUUUGCCCCCUUAGGGAAAGUUGGUCAAUUGUGUCUGAUGCUUUGUGACCCCACGGACUGUAGCCCACGAGGCUCUUCUGUCCAUGGAAUUCUCCAGGCCAGAAUACUGGAGCCUGUACCAAAGCUCAUCUGUGCAGUGGAUGGGGGCAUGCCAGCAGUGAGUGCCUUGAUGUCGGGGCCACAGCAUGGAGACUGGGUAGAGAGCUGGGCUGGAAGGAACUGGCCCUCCCCAUGGAGCACCCAGAGUCUGGGGGCUCAGGGUUCUGUUUUAUGAAAGGGCCUAUGGUUUUCUUAUAAAAUGGAAGAUGCAGUUAUGAAUCACUUUGUCUGGCUGCUGCAUGAGGAUUCCCAGCUUCCUAAGGCCUGGCACUCAGAUUCCUGCCAGCUGCUCCCUCAGGGGAAGCCCCUCUGCCUCUUCCAGGCUCACCAAGGGGAGAAUGGAGAAUACAGGGGAUUCUGUAACCAGGCCCUUGCAGCCCCUGCUGGAGACAGGCACAGACCAGAACCAUGGCCGAGUGAUCCUGGAAGUCAGGGGUCUUCCUCCCUCUCCUCUGAUCACCCCCAGAGCCAAACCUCGUGGGUGCACCAUGUGUGACGAAUGAAAAGCAGCCCAAGGUUUUUAAAUAUCCCUUUCUUGUCUUUGUUCCAAAUACCUAUAUUUUAAUUUUACCUCCAAAUACGUAUAUUUUAAUUUCACCAUUCC
ensembl:lncRNA